AACGGCCAUACCAUGCUGAAUAUACCGGUUCUCGUUAGAUCACCGAAGUCAAGCAUCAUUGGGCGUGGUCAGUACUUGGGUGGGUGACCACCUGGGAACAUCGCGUGCCGUU
rnacentral:rRNA from 1 species